UAUGUUUUCCGUUGUCUGCUUUGACAAUUCCGAGGAGGUGGAGGUUGUGCCAACGCAAUGGUACAAUAAUGGGGCAUGCAGGUGGCCCCCCCACAAGGCUGAGGGAGUCAAUCGGGCCAUAAGGCAGCUGGAGGAGCCCCAGGAUACCUGGCCUCUAUUCGACAAUGCCAGGUUUUUUUUUUUCUUCAGAUAACUAUCUGGAGUGUCGCCAGAAGCUGCCACUGGCUCAAAACCAGACGGAUUUGGCAUCAGAGGCCGAAGACCUAACACCAGACCGGAGACCCAAAAGAAAAAUCAAGCCAAGUAGACACGUCCGAAUGGACUUUGAAAGUCAAGACCCCUGCAGUCCUCCAAGGAAACAGGCCUUCCAAAUCCUCCCUAAGGCCACUGCUAUCUCUGGACCGUCCAACAUCAGGCGCUUCAUAGUAGCGCAGCCCACGCAAAGUGGGUGUUAUGAGGUCCCUGUGACCAAUGAGCAGCCUCAGGGUUUUCAGGUAGUAGAAUUGCAGAAGCUAUUUAAUUUCGCUUUUUUA